GCAGCCGCCGCGGUAAUACCGAGGGUGCGAGCGUUAAUCGGAUUUACUGGGCGUAAAGCGUGCGUAGGCGGCUUCUUAAGUCGGAUGUGAAAUCCCUGAGCUUAACUUAGGAAUUGCAUUCGAUACUGGGAAGCUAGAGUAUGGGAGAGGAUGGUAGAAUUCCAGGUGUAGCGGUGAAAUGCUUAGAAAUCUGGAGGAAUACCGAUGGCGAAGGCAGCCAUCUGGCCUAAUACUGACGCUGAGGUACGAAAGCAUGGGGAGCAAACAGGAUUAGAUACCCCCGUAGUCCCUGUCUCUUAUAC
rnacentral:rRNA from 1 species